UUUGAAGGGAUAUGGGGCCAAGUGCAGACAGGUGGGGCUGUGGGAUUAUGGUUGACAUGGACUGGUUUGACCGAAGAGUCUGUUUUCAUGUUUUAUGGCUCUUGUGACUAUGACACUAGCAAUGGGGAGUUUGCUUUAAAUUUUGUGAUUGGAACCAAAUAGGAGGUAGCAAAUUAGACAUGUGCUGCAGAAUGCCUGAUUUUCCCAACAAUUUCUUGGUCUUAAUAAGAGGUAAAUAUACGGACAAAUCUUGAGUACACAAAUUAGGGGGGUCUUCUCAUCCUGAGAUGCCAAAAAGAUUGAAGUGAGCCAUGGAUAGACUGAACAAAUCAACAUGGGACGUACACUAGUGUCACAUCCUUAGUCAAAGAUUUUAAUAAGGAUUCUGCAAAGGAGGAAAAAAAAACAAUUGAUUUACUACAUUGUCGAAGAUACAGAAUGGACCAGUGGAAAUUGAUGGAAUCGAGUGCCCUCCGAUAAUUACAAAACAUGAGGAGGAAAGCAGCCCACAGUAGGGCAGGAAGAAUGGAGAUGGAAGCUGGGCUGCCUAACAAUUAGCUCCUUACUCCAUUUGUGGAGAGAAUCCUGACUCAGAUUGCCCUGAGCAGGGUUUGAACUGGUAGCUGCCCUUGAUUGACUGUGCUGGAACCCCCUGACCAAAACCUACCUCCCUUUGACUUGAAUGAAAAUAGCUGGCAACCGUGACAAGAUUCCUGGCUUUGUGUCUGUGCCCAACGGUACAGCAAUGCAGCAGGACUGUGAGCCUGGGCAGGGGUGCUGUGAGUACCCAGUUAGAUCCGGAGUGAGCGAGCACUGGGGAGAGCCAGCGAAGAUCGCAGAGAUACAACGUGGCGCAUGUCCCUGCAUGCAGUCACCUUGCAGUGCCAUUGCAAUGAGAGUUACAGCUUUCAAACGUAGAAGCAUCCUGAAAAUGGAUUGGAGAUGAGCCAUGAGAGUUCUUGGAGGCUGGCACAUGUCAGAUACCAAUGUCUGUGGGCUGUGUACGGUCAGUGCCAAUGGAGUGUGCCCUGAGGUGUUGAUGCUCAACAUGGAGGUCCUUUGAAACAAGUCGCGGGUUGAAGUCACCAGUUUAUCGAGAUGGUUUGUGCAUAAGUUGUAUGGACAGGAGAUUUCCCUGUUAAAGAAGACAUGAAAAAAAAAACUUGGUGGAAUCUCUCAAUUUAGUGUCGCGGUAUGUGAUGGAAUGAUGCCGGGAGUCUCAAAGUGCUGGAGAUGGGCAGAAUGGCCUCAUCAGUGUAACUGCCUUGUUGAUCUGCCAAAGCCCCUCAGAAGUUCAAAUCUCAAAUCUGUGAAACUGUCCACUCCUUAUCCCUCAAGGGAAUCUGACUGAUUCCGUGUCAGUCAAAAACACUUGAGGGUCGCUGCUUAGCAGCUUGGAGAAUUCCCAUGCAGUGACCAGGAGAAAAUACUACAGACUGCCUACAGCCAUAUUUAAGACUGUAGUGUCAAUUUCGCAUGAUAGACGCCACGUAUUCUAAAGGGACAAUUUACACAGUGUAAUCAUAGCCUUGUCUUUGAGGAGCAUUAUGGAGUAAUCUGUGUUAAACACUUACUAUCUCUAUUUUAACGAGCUCUGCACCAUGCCCUGCUUAUGUCUAGAUGGUAAAUAUGAAGUCACAGGACAUUAAGUAUAUGCUGACUACACUGCCAACCCCUCCAUAUCAGUGAGGGAGCUGUCAACAUCAUUCAGUCACAAUGGGAGACGCAGCAAUGCUUUUCACAGUUCCCACUUGCAUAAUUUUGCUUAUAAUUUCCAAGAGGGAGGCUGAUAGUUUUUACAAACUCAUAUAGAAGGCUUAUUUCUCCAUCUUCCCAUUCAGUUCCCUUCCCGUCCAUGCUGGGCCAUCAGUUUUUUUGUUACCUGAACGCUGGCUCUCGUUGCCAAUUCUUGGGCCGUGACUGACUUUGGGAGGUAGGCCUCUGGUGGAGGUGUAGCCAUUGGCAGCAACAGGUUGCUACAAUGACUGAUGGAGUCAGUCCUAUCCCUCAACUGGGCCUGGAUAUUAGGCAUAAGAGGUACAGGCUGACAGAGUAAGAGCCUCACUAUACUCAUAGAACAUAGAACAUAGAACAUUACAGCGCAGUACAGGCCGUUCAGCCCUCGAUGUUGCGCCGACCUGUGAAACCAAUCUGAAGCCCAUCUAACCUAAACUAUUCCAUUAUCAUUCAUAUGUUUAUCCAAUGACCAUUUAAAUGCCCUUAAAGUUGGCGAGUCUACUACAUUUGCAGGCAGGGCAUUCCACGCCCUUACUACUCUCUGAGUAAAGAACCUACCUCUGACAUCUGUCCUAUAUCUAUCACCCCUCAAUUUAAAGCUAUGUCCCCUCGUGCUAGCCACCACCAUCUGAGGAAAAAGACUCCCACUGUCCACCCUAUCUAAUCCUCUGAUCAUCUUGUAUGUCUCUAUUAAGUCACCUCUUAACCUUCUUCUCUCUAAUGAAAACAGCCUCAAGUCCCUCAGCCUUUCCUCAUAAGACCUUCCCUCCAUACCAGGCAACAUCCUGGUAAAUCUCCUCUGCACCCUUUCCAAUGCUUCCACAUCCUUCCUAUAAUGCAGUGACCAGAACUGUACGCAAUAUUCCAAGUGCGGCCGCAGCAGAGUUUUGUACAGCUGCAACAUGACCUCAUGGCUCCGAAACUCAAUCCCUCUACCAAUAAAACCUAACACAUCGUACGCCUUCUUAACAACGCUAUCAACCUGGGUGGCAACUUUCAGGGAUCUAUGCACAUGGACACCGAGAUCUCUCUGCUCAUCCACACUACCAAGAAUCUUACCAUUAGCCCAGUACUCUGUAUUCCUGUUACUCCUUCCAAAGUGAAUCACUUCACUCAGGUAGCACAGGGGUGCCUGCA